rnacentral:rRNA from 1 species
UACGGAGGGUGCAAGCGUUAUCCGGAUUCACUGGGUUUAAAGGGUGCGUAGGUGGGUUGGUAAGUCAGUGGUGAAAUCUCCAGGCUUAACUUGGAAACUGCCAUUGAUACUAUCAAUCUUGAAUACCGUGGAGGUCAGCGGAAUAUGUCAUGUAGCGGUGAAAUGCUUAGAUAUGACAUAGAACACCAAUUGCGAAGGCAGCUGGCUACACGAAUAUUGACACUGAUGCACGAAAGCGUGGGGAUCAAACAGGGA